UGAUCCCCUUCGGGGGUGACGCUUGUGGAAUGAGCGGCGGACGGGUGAGUAACACGUGGGCAACCUGCCUGUAAGACUGGGAUAACCCCGGGAAACCGGGGCUAAUACCGGAUAAUACUUUCUUUUGCAUAAAGGAAAGUUGAAAGGCGGCUUCGGCUGUCACUUACAGAUGGGCCCGCGGCGCAUUAGCUAGUUGGUGAGGUAACGGCUCACCAAGGCGACGAUGCGUAGCCGACCUGAGAGGGUGAUCGGCCACACUGGGACUGAGACACGGCCCAGACUCCUACGGGAGGCAGCAGUAGGGAAUCUUCCGCAAUGGACGAAAGUCUGACGGAGCAACGCCGCGUGAGUGAUGAAGGUUUUCGGAUCGUAAAACUCUGUUGUUAGGGAAGAACAAGUUGGGUAGUAACUGACCCAACCUUGACGGUACCUAACCAGAAAGCCACGGCUAACUACGUGCCAGCAGCCGCGGUAAUACGUAGGUGGCAAGCGUUGUCCGGAAUUAUUGGGCGUAAAGCGCUCGCAGGCGGUCCUUUAAGUCUGAUGUGAAAUCUCGCGGCUCAACCGCGAACGGUCAUUGGAAACUGGAGGACUUGAGUACAGAAGAGGAGAGUGGAAUUCCACGUGUAGCGGUGAAAUGCGUAGAGAUGUGGAGGAACACCAGUGGCGAAGGCGACUCUCUGGUCUGUAACUGACGCUGAGGAGCGAAAGCGUGGGGAGCGAACAGGAUUAGAUACCCUGGUAGUCCACGCCGUAAACGAUGAGUGCUAGGUGUUAGGGGGUUUCCGCCCCUUAGUGCUGAAGUUAACGCAUUAAGCACUCCGCCUGGGGAGUACGGCCGCAAGGCUGAAACUCAAAAGAAUUGACGGGG
rnacentral:rRNA from 1 species